rnacentral:rRNA from 1 species
UACGUAGGGGGCAAGCGUUGUCCGGAAUCAUUGGGCGUAAAGAGCGCGUAGGCGGCCCGAUAAGUCCGCUGUGAAAGUCAAGGGCUUAACCCUUGAAUGCCGGUGGAAACUGUCGGGCUAGAGUCCGGAAGAGGCGAGUGGAAUUCCUGGUGUAGCGGUGAAAUGCGCAGAUAUCAGGAGGAACACCUAUUGCGAAGGCAGCUCGCUGGGACGUUACUGACGCUGAGACGCGAAAGCGUGGGGAGCAAACAGG